CUGUCGCAGGUCUUCGACGUCAUUCACCAUUCCGGCCUAUCACUAUUGACAUCAUGUCCAUUAGACGCCAUAUCGGGUGCGGUGGGACAGGAAAUACAGCCGCCAUCUUGAGCCGGUCUUCUACUCCAGUGGUUCUCAAAUGGGGGUAUGCGUACCCCUGGGGGUACUUGAAGGUAUGCCAAACGGCCCUACGAUGAGGUAGCGACUUGUCCAGGGUGUACACCGCCUUCCGCCUGAUUGUAGCUGAGAUAGGCGCCAGCGCCCCCCGCGACCCCAAAAGGGAAUAAGCGGUACAAAAUGGAUGGAUGGAUGGAUACUUCGAGAAAAUAUGAAUGGGGUACAUCACUGAAAAAAAGUUGAGAACCACUGUUCUAGUCCUCUGAGCAGCAGAAAGAAGAAGGAAGAACAUGACCCCACCACAGCAUUGUGCUUAAUAUUCUCGCACAAAUUGGCGG